GAAAAAUUAUAUAUAAACUUAGGGCUUUCUUUAUUUUCAAGCUUGAUUAAAUAAUUAGUGACAGCCAGAAGCCCAGCGUUUUCUUGAGGCAAAUUCUCUCUACCCCGACACUAUUCUCUAUGCCGUUUUGGAAAAACGUCCUUUCCUUGGAAAGAUCCUCUUAGAGGUAGGAAUUCUAUAGAAGCGUGGUCUGUUGUUCCAAUUUGGAGUCUAGGACGAAAGAAUAGAGGACCUCAUGGAGUUAAAGGAAAAGAGAAGAAAAUGAUGAGGGCAUUCGGAGAUUGGGAUUUUGGGGUCGGGG
rnacentral:lncRNA from 1 species